rnacentral:lncRNA from 1 species
UGGUAGCACAGUUUUAGGUUUUAAUUGGGUAUUCAUUAAAGCAUUGCCACCCACUUCUCUUGACCAUGGGGCUGUGGGGGAAAGAGCUGACCGACACCUGCACCUCUCUCAUCUGCACACCUGGGUGCUGGCAUUCCCUGCACCAUCAGGCAGAGUGGGGAAAGCUGUGUGAAUUACUGAGUCCAUUAGCAGCCCUCCUUUGCUGCAUGGCUGUGAGCUUUCGAUGAGAGAACCCCAAAGAGGCUCUGGAAGUCACACGAGAGGGAAGAUGAACCAGAUGGCUUCUCUGCAAAAUUAAGAUUGGAUUUUAGGGCUUCAUAUGAUUUACAAGCAGUUGUUUCCUGCUGGCAGCAGAUUGUGUGCUUGCAAGGAGGACAUUUGAAAAAAGCCAGAAGUGGAGUGACACCAACUGGCACAGCUACCCAGCUCUAUGUGAGGACAACAAAGUGGUGCUUAAACAGAAGUGUGCUUUCACAUAGUGCAAUUAGAGAUGUUCUCCCUUAUGGGCUCUUUGUGCAGUUUGGAGGAGGAUGAGUCACAGAAGGCGAAGGCAGAGGCUCAGCUGGCAGGAUCAGCGUGCUGAAGGUCCAUGGCUUCCUACAGCAAUCCCACCCCUGGCACUGGCUGUGCACUGUGGAUGUUGGGCAACUGAUCAGAGAGAUAUCAAGCAAAGAAGUGUCAAUAAUUGUCUCCCGGAGGCAUUUUUCUACCCUGCUUCUACAGAGACCCUAUCAAACAAAAGACAACUACCAAUUGUUUUGUAUUCCUUUGGACUCAACUCACUAUACAGGAGAUGUAUGAUGACUCAGACAGCUUGGAUGCACUGCCCCUAA